CGCUUGUCCCAGUGAGUGUGAUUGUAGAGUGCUGGUGAUGUGUCCUUUGGGAGUGGACUUUUCCUCUUGAGUCACAGAUGAAGGAAAGAAUUCCAUGAUCCCUGAGAGGAGGAAUUUGAUGGAGACAUUCCUUUAAAGUCUCAGUGUUUCAAGCUCUCUAAUGUCUGGAUGUGGGUCUCUGUAUUGUUUUUCUCCCAUCAACUGAAGAAAGAAGAUUCUCUGAGGAAGGAAUUAUUCUGUAGUCCAACAUCCCAGCCAGAGAAUGGUGGCACACACCACAGCAGGAAGUAUGAGAUCAUUGCUGAAGCUCAGGUUCGCACGCCUUGAUAGGGCACUAGUCUCCAACCAGCUGCCAGAAGACAAUUGGAGCUUCCUUCUGCCCCCUGAUGCAUCUUUCCAAUCUUAAGACCCUGAUGUAGCCUUCGAAGCGACCACGCAAAGCAGAAGUUCCUUGGGAGAACAAGACUAACAGAUCCAAGUUUCAAAUCUCUGUGGGCAAGGAUUUACAUUAAGCAACAGGAAAUCAUUUUAUACUGAGGCACUUUUCUAUUAUAAGGGGCCGUGGGCUGUGGGAGGCAUAUACGUUUGACCUGUCUGGACCAUCUUGUCCAUAUACUGAACAAAAAGGCCAGUGGAAAAGGUCAGUGGAUGUGCAGUCACUUAGGCAGUGCCUGGGACAGCAGACCAAUUCGAUUCAUUUCUCCUUGUGGAGAUCCAUGAAGUCCCAAUUCUUAAUUAUCUAGUCUUUUGUGCAUUAAAAAAUGGCCAAUAAAAUG